rnacentral:rRNA from 1 species
AUUGAACGCUGGCGGCAGGCCUAACACAUGCAAGUCGAGCGGAUGAAGGGAGCUUUCUCCUGGAUUCAGCGGCGGACGGGUGAGUAAUGCCUAGGAAUCUGCCUGGUAGUGGGGGAUAACGUCCGGAAACGGGCGCUAAUACCGCAUACGUCCUGAGGGAGAAAGUGGGGGAUCUUCGGACCUCACGCUAUCAGAUGAGCCUAGGUCGGAUUAGCUAGUUGGUGGGGUAAAGGCCUACCAAGGCGACGAUCCGUAACUGGUCUGAGAGGAUGAUCAGUCACACUGGAACUGAGACACGGUCCAGACUCCUACGGGAGGCAGCAGUGGGGAAUAUUGGACAAUGGGCGAAAGCCUGAUCCAGCCAUGCCGCGUGUGCGAAGAAGGUCUUCGGAUUGUAAAGCACUUUAAGUUGGGAGGAAGGGCAGUAAGUUAAUACCUUGCUGUUUUGACGUUACCAACAGAAUAAGCACCGGCUAACUUCGUG